rnacentral:rRNA from 1 species
UACGUAGGGUGCGAGCGUUAAUCGGAAUUACUGGGCGUAAAGCGUGCGCAGGCGGUUCGUUAAGUUCGAUGUGAAAGCCCCAGGCUCAACUUGGGAACUGCAUCCGAUACUGGAUGGCUUGAAUCCGGGAGAGGGAUGCAGAAUUCCAGGUGUAGCGGUGAAAUGCGUAGAUAUCUGGAGGAAUACCGGUGGCGAAGGCGGCAUCCUGGACCGGCAUUGACGCUGAUGAGCGAAAGCUAGGGGAGCAAACGGG